rnacentral:rRNA from 1 species
AGUUUGAUCAUGGCUCAGAUUGAACGCUGGCGGCAUGCUUUACACAUGCAAGUCGAACGGCAGCGGGGGCUUCGGCCUGCCGGCGAGUGGCGAACGGGUGAGUAAUACAUCGGAACGUGUCCUUAAGUGGGGAAUAACGCAUCGAAAGAUGUGCUAAUACCGCAUAUCUCUCAGGAGGAAAGCAGGGGAUCGAAAGACCUUGCGCUAAAGGAGCGGCUGAUGUCUGAUUAGCUAGUUGGUGGGGUAAAGGCUUACCAAGGCAACGAUCAGUAGCUGGUCUGAGAGGACGACCAGCCACACUGGGACUGAGACACGGCCCAGACUCCUACGGGAGGCAGCAGUGGGGAAUUUUGGACAAUGGGCGAAAGCCUGAUCCAGCCAUGCCGCGUGAGUGAAGAAGGCCUUCGGGUUGUAAAGCUCUUUUAGUCGGAAAGAAAGAGUCAUAGUAAAUAGCUAUGAUUUAUGACGGUACCGACAGAAAAAGCACCGGCUAACUACGUGCCAGCAGCCGCGGUAAUACGUAGGGUGCGAGCGUUAAUCGGAAUUACUGGGCGUAAAGGGUGCGCAGGCGGCCUUGUAAGUCAGAUGUGAAAGCCCCGGGCUUAACCUGGGAAUUGCGUUUGAAACUACAAAGCUAGAGUGCAGCAGAGGGGAGUGGAAUUCCAUGUGUAGCAGUGAAAUGCGUAGAGAUGUGGAAGAACACCGAUGGCGAAGGCAGCUCCCUGGGUUGACACUGACGCUCAUGCACGA